GGUGAGCAACUAUUCUGGUUUGCCUGGGACUGAGGAGCGUCCUGGGGUAUGGGGCUUUCAAUGCUAAAACCAGGAGAGUC
rnacentral:miRNA from 1 species